GUGAAUGGCCAGAGAUUGAAGCCUUACAAUGUGGGGCAAGCAGUGGGCCAAAUUGAUGUUGUUCAUCUUGUCUGAAAAAAUGCGCAACCGUCGAGCCAAGCGACGUUAAACGAAGCGCUACAUGGGAGGCAACCCACGCUUUUGUAUCUAAUUAUUCUCUUUGUUUGGUUAUGUAUUAUUUACUUGCAGGUGUCAACAGUGUUUGCUAGAGGAGUUAAAGAUAGCGGUAGCAAAAACUCUCUAAAAAUUCGGAAGCAGAAGUCGG
rnacentral:lncRNA from 1 species